rnacentral:rRNA from 1 species
AUGCUUGACCUCAAAUCAGGUAGGACUACCCGCUGAACUUAAGCAUAUCAAUAAGCGGAGGAAAAGAAACUAACAAGGAUUCCCCUAGUAACUGCGAGUGAAGCGGGAAAAGCUCAAAUUUAAAAUCUGGCGGUCUCUGGCCGUCCGAGUUGUAAUCUAGAGAAGUAAUGCCCGUGCUGGACCGUGUAUAAGUCUCCUGGGAUGGGGCGUCAUAGAGGGUGAGAAUCCCGUCUUUGACACGGACUACCAGUGCAUUGUGGUAUGCUCUCAAAGAGUCGAGUUGUUUGGGAAUGCAGCUCAAAAUGGGUGGUAAAUUCCAUCUAAAGCUAAAUAUUGGCGAGAGACCGAUAGCGAACAAGUACCGUGAGGGAAAGAUGAAAAGAACUUUGGAAAGAGAGUUAAACAGUACGUGAAAUUGCUGAAAGGGAAACGCUUGAAGUCAGUCGCGUUGGCCGGGGAUCAGCCUUGCUUUUGCAUGGUGUACUUUCUGGUUGACGGGUCAGCAUCAAUUUUGACCGCUGGAAAAAGACCUGUGGAAUGUGGCAGCUUCGGCUGUGUUAUAGCCCCUAGUCGCAUACAGUGGUUGGGAUUGAGGAACUCAGCACGCCGCAAGGCCGGGUUUCGACCACGUUCGUGCUUAGGAUGCUGGCAUAAUGGC